UCAGGCCUAACACAUGCAAGUCGAGCGGGGGUAGCAAUACUUCAGCGGCGGACGGGUGAGGAACACAUAGGAAUCUGCCUUUAGGUGGGGGAUAGCCAGGGGAAACUCUGGGUAAUACCGCAUGAUCUCGAGAGAGCAAAGGGGCGCAAGUCUCGCCUUUAGAGGAGCCUAUGUCUGAUUAGCUAGUUGGCGGUGUAAUGGACCACCAAGGCGAUGAUCAGUAACUGGUCUGAGAGGACGAUCAGUCACACCGGAACUGAGACACGGUCCGGACUCCUACGGGAGGCAGCAGUGGGGAAUAUUGGACAAUGGGCGAAAGCCUGAAAGAGCAAUUCCGCGUGUGUGAAGAAGGCCUUCGG
rnacentral:rRNA from 1 species